rnacentral:rRNA from 1 species
GAUGAACGCUGGCGGCGUGCUUAACACAUGCAAGUCGAACGAAGCAUUUAAGAACGAUUCUUCGGAUGAGGACUUUUAUGACUGAGUGGCGGACGGGUGAGUAACGCGUGGGGAACCUGCCCUAUACAGGGGGAUAACAGUUAGAAAUGACUGCUAAUACCGCAUAAGCGCACAGAACCGCAUGGUUCAGUGUGAAAAACUGAGGUGGUAUAGGAUGGACCCGCGUCUGAUUAGCUAGUUGGUGAGGUAACGGCCCACCAAGGCGACGAUCAGUAGCCGGCCUGAGAGGGCGACCGGCCACAUUGGGACUGAGACACGGCCCAA